UACGUAGGGUCCGAGCGUUGUCCGGAAUUACUGGGCGUAAAGAGCUCGUAGGUGGUUUGUCGCGUUGUUCGUGAAAACUCACAGCUCAACUGUGGGCGUGCGGGCGAUACGGGCAGACUUGAGUACUGCAGGGGAGACUGGAAUUCCUGGUGUAGCGGUGGAAUGCGCAGAUAUCAGGAGGAACACCGGUGGCGAAGGCGGGUCUCUGGGCAGUAACUGACGCUGAGGAGCGAAAGUGUGGGGAGCGAACAGG
rnacentral:rRNA from 1 species